CUAGCGACUUCAGAGUUUGAUCCUGGCUCAGGAUGAACGCUGGCGGCGUGCUUAACACAUGCAAGUCGAACGAGCGAAUCCCCUUCGGGGGACGAGCGAGUGGCGGACGGGUGAGUAACGCGUGGGUAACCUGCCUCAUACAGGGGGAUAACAGUCAGAAAUGACUGCUAAUACCGCAUAAGCGCACAGUACCGCAUGGUACAGUGUGAAAAGCUCCGGCGGUAUGAGAUGGACCCGCGUUAGAUUAGCCAGUUGGCGGGGUAACGGCCCACCAAAGCGACGAUCUAUAGCCGGCCUGAGAGGGCGACCGGCCACAUUGGGACUGAGACACGGCCCAG
rnacentral:rRNA from 1 species